rnacentral:rRNA from 1 species
UACAGAGGGGGCAAGCGUUAUUCGGAAUCACUGGGCGUAAAGGGUGCGUAGGCGGGUCUUUUAAGUCAGGGGUGAAAUCCUGGAGCUCAACUCCAGAACUGCCUUUGAUACUGAGGAUCUUGAGUUCGGGAGAGGUGAGUGGAACUGCGAGUGUAGAGGUGAAAUUCGUAGAUAUUCGCAAGAACACCAGUGGCGAAGGCGGCUCACUGGCCCGAUACUGACGCUGAGGCGCGAAAGCUAGGGGAGCAAACAGG